AGAGUUUGAUCAUGGCUCAGAACGAACGCUGGCGGCAUGCCUAACACAUGCAAGUCGAACGCUCCUGGGGUUUCGGCCCCAGGGGAGUGGCGCACGGGUGAGUAGCGCGUGGGAACCUGCCCUGUUGUGGGGGAUAACCGAGGGAAACUUCGGCUAAUACCGCAUAAGCCGGCUGUCUUGAGAGAGAUUGGCCGGGAAAGAUUUAUCGCGACAGGAGGGGCCCGCGUCGGAUUAGCUGGUUGGUGGGGUAACGGCCUACCAAGGCGAUGAUCCGUAGCUGGUCUGAGAGGAUGAUCAGCCACACUGGGACUGAGACACGGCCCAGACUCCUACGGGAGGCAGCAGUGGGGAAUAUUGGACAAUGGGCGCAAGCCUGAUCCAGCAAUGCCGCGUGAGUGAUGAAGGCCUUAGGGUUGUAAAGCUCUUUCGCCCGCGACGAUGAUGACGGUAGCGGGAGAAGAAGCCCCGGCUAACUUCGUGCCAGCAGCCGCGGUAAUACGAAGGGGGCGAGCGUUGUUCGGAUUUACUGGGCGUAAAGGGCGCGUAGGCGGCGGGUCAAGUCGAGUGUGAAAGCCCCGGGCUCAACCUGGGAAUUGCGCUCGAGACUGGGCUGCUUGAGUUCGGGAGAGGAGCGUGGAAUUCCCAGUGUAGAGGUGAAAUUCGUAGAUAUUGGGAAGAACACCGGUGGCGAAGGCGGCGCUCUGGACCGAGACUGACGCUGAGGCGCGAAAGCGUGGGGAGCAAACAGGAUUAGAUACCCUAGUAGUCC
rnacentral:rRNA from 1 species